rnacentral:rRNA from 1 species
CGAACGCUGGCGGCGUGCUUAACACAUGCAAGUCGAACGGAAAGGCCCUGCUUUUGUGGGGUGCUCGAGUGGCGAACGGGUGAGUAACACGUGAGUAACCUGCCCUUGGCUUUGGGAUAACUUCAGGAAACUGGGGCUAAUACCGGAUAGGAGCUCCUGCUGCAUGGUAGGGGUUGGAAAGUUUCGGCGGUUGGGGAUGGACUCGCGGCUUAUCAGCUUGUUGGUGGGGUAGUGGCUUACCAAGGCUUUGACGGGUAGCCGGCCUGAGAGGGUGACCGGCCACAUUGGGACUGAGAUACGGCCCAGACUCCUACGGGAGGCAGCAGUGGGGAAUAUUGCACAAUGGGCGGAAGCCUGAUGCAGCAACGCCGCGUGCGGGAUGAAGGCCUUCGGGUUGUAAACCGCUUUCGCCUGUGACGAAGCGUGAGUGACGGUAAUGGGUAAAGAAGCACCGGCUAACUACGUG